rnacentral:rRNA from 1 species
UACGUAGGGUGCAAGCGUUAAUCGGAAUUACUGGGCGUAAAGCGUGCGCAGGCGGUUUUGUAAGUUUGUCGUGAAAUCCCCGGGCUCAACCUGGGAAUGGCGAUGAAGACUGCAAGGCUAGAAUCUGGCAGAGGGGGGUAGAAUUCCACGUGUAGCAGUGAAAUGCGUAGAGAUGUGGAGGAACACUGAUGGCGAAGGCAGCCCCCUGGGUCAAGAUUGACGCUCAUGCACGAAAGCGUGGGGAGCAAACAGG